rfam:Pelecanus crispus contig7002, whole genome shotgun sequence.
CAAAAGGUUUUUUUAAAAACUACUAUUAUUUUUCUGAAACUUGCAA